rnacentral:rRNA from 4 species
GGGUUGUGAGGUUAAGCGACUAAGCGUACACGGUGGAUGCCCUGGCAGUCAGAGGCGAUGAAGGGCGUGCUAAUCUGCGAUAAGCGCCGGUAAGGUGAUAUGAACCGUUAUAACCGGCGAUACCCGAAUGGGGAAACCCAGUGUGAUUCGUCACACUAUCAUUAACUGAAUCCAUAGGUUAAUGAGGCGAACCGGGGGAACUGAAACAUCUAAGUACCCCGAGGAAAAGAAAUCAACCGAGAUUCCCCCAGUAGCGGCGAGCGAACGGGGAGGAGCCCAGAGCCUGAAUCAGCAUGUGUGUUAGUGGAAGCGUCUGGAAAGGCGCGCGAUACAGGGUGACAGCCCCGUACACAAAAGCGCAUGUGCUGUGAGCUCGAUGAGUAGGGCGGGACACGUGGUAUCCUGUCUGAAUAUGGGGGGACCAUCCUCCAAGGCUAAAUACUCCUGACUGACCGAUAGUGAACCAGUACCGUGAGGGAAAGGCGAAAAGAACCCCGGCGAGGGGAGUGAAAAAGAACCUGAAACCGUGUACGUACAAGCAGUGGGAGCACCCUUUGGGUGUGACUGCGUACCUUUUGUAUAAUGGGUCAGCGACUUAUAUUCUGUAGCAAGGUUAACCGAAUAGGGGAGCCGGAGGGAAACCGAGUCUUAACCGGGCGUUAAGUUGCAGGGUAUAGACCCGAAACCCGGUGAUCUAGCCAUGGGCAGGUUGAAGGUUGGGUAACACUAACUGGAGGACCGAACCGACUAAUGUUGAAAAAUUAGCGGAUGACCUGUGGCUGGGGGUGAAAGGCCAAUCAAACCGGGAGAUAGCUGGUUCUCCCCGAAAGCUAUUUAGGUAGCGCCUCGUGAAUUCAUCUCCGGGGGUAGAGCACUGUUUCGGCUAGGGGGCCAUCCCGGCUUACCAACCCGAUGCAAACUGCGAAUACCGGAGAAUGUUAUCACGGGAGACACACGGCGGGUGCUAACGUCCGUCGUGAAGAGGGAAACAACCCAGACCGCCAGCUAAGGUCCCAAAGUCAUGGUUAAGUGGGAAACGAUGUGGGAAGGCCCAGACAGCCAGGAUGUUGGCUUAGAAGCAGCCAUCAUUUAAAGAAAGCGUAAUAGCUCACUGGUCGAGUCGGCCUGCGCGGAAGAUGUAACGGGGCUAAACCAUG